rnacentral:rRNA from 1 species
CCUACGGGUGGCAGCAGUGAGGAAUAUUGGUCAAUGGGCGGAAGCCUGAACCAGCCAAGUAGCGUGCGGGAUGAAGGCCCUACGGGUCGUAAACCGCUUUUGCACGGGGAUAACACCCUCCACUUGUGGACGUCUGCAGGUACCGUGCGAAUAAGGGCCGGCUAAUUCCGUGCCAGCAGCCGCGGUAAUACGGAAGGCCCGGGCGGUAUCCGGAUUCAUUGGGCUUAAAGGGAGCGUAGGCGGGCGUUCAAGUCAGCUGUAAAAUUGCGCGGCUAAACCCCGCCCCGCAGUUGAAACUGGACGUCUUGAGUUCACAACAGGCAGGCGGAAUUCGUGGUGUAGCGGUGAAAUGCAUAGAUAUCACGAGGAACCCCGAUUGCGAAGGCAGCCUGCCGGGGUGCGACUGACGCUGAGGCUCGAAGGUGCGGGUAUCAAACAGGAUUAGAUACCCUUGUAGUC